rnacentral:rRNA from 1 species
UGCUGGGAUGUGAUGGGGAGCGAAAUUUAGUAGCGAAGUAGCUGAUUUCACACUGUCAAGAAAAGUCUCUAUCGAGGUUAAAGGUACCCGUACCGCAAACCGACACAGGUGGGUGAGGAGAGUAUCCUAAGGCCAGCGAGAGAACUGUUGGUAAGGAACUCGGCAAAAUGACCCCGUAACUUAGGGAUAAGGGGUGCCACCAUCAGGUGGCCGCAGAGAAUAGGCCCAAGCGACUGUUUACCAAAAACAUAGGGUUCUGCUAAGUCGCAAGACGAUGUAUAGGAGCUGACGCCUGCCCGGUGCUGG